rnacentral:snRNA from 1 species
UCGGCGAUUUUGAGUGAAAUC